rnacentral:rRNA from 1 species
GACGAACGCGGCGGCGUGCCUAAUACAUGCAAGUAGAACGCUGAAGGAGGAGCUUGCUUCUCUGGAUGAGUUGCGAACGGGUGAGUAACGCGUAGGUAACCUGCCUGGUAGCGGGGGAUAACUAUUGGAAACGAUAGCUAAUACCGCAUAAUAGUAGAUGUUGCAUGACAUUUACUUAAAAGGUGCAAUUGCAUCACUACCAGAUGGACCUGCGUUGUAUUAGCUAGUUGGUGGGGUAACGGCUCACCAAGGCGACGAUACAUAGCCGACCUGAGAGGGUGAUCGGCCACACUGGGACUGAGACACGGCCCAGACUCCUACGGGAGGCAGCAGUAGGGAAUCUUCGGCAAUGGACGGAAGUCUGACCGAGCAACGCCGCGUGAGUGAAGAAAGGUUUUUCGGGAUUCGUAAAAGCUCUGUGUAAAGAGAAAGAAACGAAGUGUGAAG